CCCCCAACUCCCACCCCCUAAAUAUGAGAAUUUUAGUUUUCCUUUUUCUUUUUGAACCUCUAGUCUGCUGUAGUGACCUCUCGGCAUGAAAAGGGUAAAUAAACAGAAAUCAUAUAUGGUGUAUAAUCAUGUGUUUUAUUUCCAUAUUUGCCUCUGAAAACAGCUCCAGCUCAUCUGGUACCCAGAUUCCAAAGACAGAAGUUCCUCCUCCUCCAGCUGUAUAGAAAAUGCAGCCAAUGCCUGAAAAGGAAGUGUGGCGUCACAGGAGCCCUGCGGGCAAAUACAAACAUAUGGGCUGUUUCCUUGCAAGGUCUUUUUGGCAAAUAUAGUAUACCUCUGCCAGCGGGAUGGUUAAUAAACUGGGUCAUCCAGCACGUCUUCUCCCGAUCCCUAUACUUCCCAUUCAAUUUGGUAAACAUCCUCUGAUUGAAACGACCCCAUCCACGAGAGUCCGCUUUAAACAAAACCAACGAAGCAAACAUGUUUUGUCUUGAAUAUGUUUUAUUUCUGUUGAACAAUUAAAAUCGGCAGCAUGAUCACAAAUCA